rnacentral:tRNA from 1 species
GAUCUCGUGGUCUAGCGGCUAUGACGCCUCCCCGACACGGAGGAAAUCGGUGGUUCGAGUCCACUCGGGAUCAC